GGAACCUGGAAUUCAAACGGCUGGGGCCUCACUCACGGCAUAUGGAACUAACCACGCCCCUAACUAAGAAGGCACACCUUAGUUGCAGUUAGCACACAAUUAAAGCAACUCUCCAAGUUUUACCUUAAAGUUCAAAAUUGCUAGGAGUUGAAACUACUAGAAAUAUAUUUACAUGCAAGAGUCAAAGAAACUUUGAACUAUUUAUGGCCUUUAAUAAUUAAGUAAGGUAUACUCCUGUGAUCAAGACUUGGAGCAUAUUUGUUUCUCUCUGCCUGGUUCCUCUAGAAAUUGGAAACUAUCAGAACAGAGACCAACUCCGUUUCCCGAUCCCUUUGCAAUCUGCAUUGAACCAUGAGUCAAGUUCUUGAUAAAGGAGUGAAAAUGGAUGACAUUUAAGGCACAUCUGAAGAUGGGGAAACCACAGCACAGAAUAAGGCUGGGCCCUUGAAUCAAUAAAUGAAGGAGAACUACUCAAGAGAACAAAACCACCAGCAAUAUCCACCUGUAUUUGUCUUUUCAUAAUGUGUGACACAUGUGCUCAUGGAUUAUUGUCCGAAGCAAGACAUGUGACCAAGCCUAACAUCAACUGGGUGAAGAGCUAUAUGUUCCUUUCUCAAGAGGCACUACAAGUGACAUGCCACUGGGCAGGUAAGAUCCUCUCAAAUGAAGGGACUGUGAAUAUUUGACUAAUAAUACAAAUAUUUACUGGAUAUUUUACAGUGAUAUUUACAAAUAUCACUGGCUAACUUUUCCCAGCUUGAUAUCCUGAAAGAGGCACAGUUUCAGUAGUAAAUGGUAAAUUUACCUUGAUUGCACUGAAGGCUAUUUCUUUAAAACUAUUUUCUUUCCUUUUGACUAUUCCAUGUAUCCUUUCAGAAGUAAACAUUGUUUUUACCCCUUUAAAAAGUCUACUUAUACCAUCUACUUAAUUUGGAAUUUAUCUAACAUUGCCAGUUUGAUAUAGAUACAGAAAUUUAAUGAGAAAAUGCAGUUCUAUAUUUAGAAUAUGGAUUCUUCAAGAUGUUUCUGACACACAUUUGUUUUCAUUGAAACAUUAAACAAUUAUUUAGCUAA
rnacentral:lncRNA from 1 species